rnacentral:rRNA from 1 species
AGUGAACGCUGGCGGUAGGCCUAACACAUGCAAGUCGAACGGCAGCACAGUAAGAGCUUGCUCUUACGGGUGGCGAGUGGCGGACGGGUGAGGAAUACAUCGGAAUCUACUUUUUCGUGGGGGAUAACGUAGGUAAACUUACGCUAAUACCGCAUACGACCUACGGGUGAAAGCAGGGGAUCUUCGGACCUUGCGCGAUUGAAUGAGCCGAUGUCGGAUUAGCUAGUUGGCGGGGUAAAGGCCCACCAAGGCGACGAUCCGUAGCUGGUCUGAGAGGAUGAUCAGCCACACUGGAACUGAGACACGGUCCAGACUCCUACGGGAGGCAGCAGUGGGGAAUAGUGGACAAUGGGCGCAAGCCUGAUCCAGCCAUACCGCGUGGGUGAAGAAGGCCUUCGGGUUGUAAAGCCCUUUUGUUGGGAAAGAAAAGCAGCAGGUUAAUACCCCGCUGUUCUGACGGUACCCAAAGAAUAAGCACCGGCUAACUUCGUG